rnacentral:rRNA from 1 species
GAUGAACGCUGGCGGCAUGCCUAACACAUGCAAGUCGAACGGUAAGGCCCUUCGGUGUGCUCGAGAGGAGGACGGCCGAGUGACGCGUAGGAACACACCUUGCAGUCAGGGAUCAGACACCGAACGGCGUUCUAAUACCGCAUACGGUCUUCGUAUUAAAGCAUUUAUGCGCUGUAGGAGUGGCCUGCGUCAUAUUAGAUAGUUUGUGGGGUAAUGGCUCACCAAGUCGAUGAUGUUUAGCUGGUAUGAGAGGAUGAUCAGCCAGACGGGAACUGAGACACGGUCCAGACUCCUGCGGGAGGCAGCAGUGGGGAAUAUUGCACGAUGAGCGGAAGCGUGAUGGAGCGAUGCCGCGGGGAGGAUGAAGGCUCUCGGGUUGUAAACUGCUUUUAUAAGAGGAGAUUAUGACGGUAACUGAUAAAGAAGAGACGGCUAACUACGUG